AGCGAGGUGGGGAAGCCAGGUCAUCCCGGCGGGCUCAUAACCCGCAGACCGGAGGUUCAAAUCCUCCCCUCGCUA
rnacentral:tRNA from 1 species